AUUGAACGCUGGCGGCAGGCUUAACACAUGCAAGUCGAGCGGGGAAAGGUAGCUUGCUACCUGACCUAGCGGCGGACGGGUGAGUAAUGCUUAGGAAUCUGCCUAUUAGUGGGGGACAACAUUCCGAAAGGAAUGCUAAUACCGCAUACGCCCUACGGGGGAAAGCAGGGGAUCUUCGGACCUUGCACUAAUAGAUGAGCCUAAGUCAGAUUAGCUAGUUGGUGGGGUAAAGGCCUACCAAGGCGACGAUCUGUAGCGGGUCUGAGAGGAUGAUCCGCCACACUGGGACUGAGACACGGCCCAAACUCCUACGGGAGGCAGCAGUGGGGAAUAUUGGACAAUGGGCGAAAGCCUGAUCCAGCCAUGCCGCGUGUGUGAAGAAGGCCUUUUGGUUGUAAAGCACUUUAAGCGAGGAGGAGGCUACUUAGAUUAAUACUCUAGGAUAGUGGACGUUACUCGCAGAAUAAGCACCGGCUAACUCUGUGCCAGCAGCCGCGGUAAUACAGAGGGUGCGAGCGUUAAUCGGAUUUACUGGGCGUAAAGCGUGCGUAGGCGGCUUUUUAAGUCGGAUGUGAAAUCCCUGAGCUUAACUUAGGAAUUGCAUUCGAUACUGGGAAGCUAGAGUAUGGGAGAGGAUGGUAGAAUUCCAGGUGUAGCGGUGAAAUGCGUAGAGAUCUGGAGGAAUACCGAUGGCGAAGGCAGCCAUCUGGCCUAAUACUGACGCUGAGGUACGAAAGCAUGGGGAGCAAACAGGAUUAGAUACCCUGGUAGUCCAUGCCGUAAACGAUGUCUACUAGCCGUUGGGGCCUUUGAGGCUUUAGUGGCGCAGCUAACGCGAUAAGUAGACCGCCUGGGGAGUACGGUCGCAAGACUAAAACUCAAAUGAAUUGACGGGGGCCCGCACAAGCGGUGGAGCAUGUGGUAUAAUUCGAUGCAACGCGAAGAACCUUACCUGGUCUUGACAUAGUAAGAACUUUCCAGAGAUGGAUUGGUGCCUUCGGGAACUUACAUACAGGUGCUGCAUGGCUGUCGUCAGCUCGUGUCGUGAGAUGUUGGGUUAAGUCCCGCAACGAGCGCAACCCUUUUCCUUAUUUGCCAGCGGGUUAAGCCGGGAACUUUAAGGAUACUGCCAGUGACAAACUGGAGGAAGGCGGGGACGACGUCAAGUCAUCAUGGCCCUUACGACCAGGGCUACACACGUGCUACAAUGGUCGGUACAAAGGGUUGCUACCUAGCGAUAGGAUGCUAAUCUCAAAAAGCCGAUCGUAGUCCGGAUUGGAGUCUGCAACUCGACUCCAUGAAGUCGGAAUCGCCAGUAAUCGCGGAUCAGAAUGCCGCGGUGAAUACGUUCCCGGGCCU
rnacentral:rRNA from 1 species